UACAGGGGGGGCAAGCGUUGUUCGGAAUUACUGGGCGUAAAGGGCGCGUAGGCGGGCUGGCAAGUCGGUCGUGAAAUCCCUCGGCUCAACCGAGGAACGUCGAUCGAUACUGCUGUUCUUGAGGAUUGCAGAGGAGACUGGAAUUCCCGGUGUAGCGGUGAAAUGUGUAGAGAUCGGGAGGAACACCGGUGGCGAAGGCGGGUCUCUGGGCAAUUCCUGACGCUGAGGCGCGAAAGCGUGGGGAGCAAACGGG
rnacentral:rRNA from 1 species